rnacentral:rRNA from 1 species
UACGUAGGGUGCAAGCGUUGUCCGGAAUUAUUGGGCGUAAAGAGCUCGUAGGCGGUCUGUUGCGUCGGCUGUGAAAACCCGGGGCUCAACUCCGGGCCUGCAGCCGAUACGGGCAGACUAGAGUUCGGCAGGGGAGACUGGAAUUCCUGGUGUAGCGGUGAAAUGCGCAGAUAUCAGGAGGAACACCGGUGGCGAAGGCGGAUCUCUGGGCCAUUACUGACGCUGAGGAGCGAAAGCGUGGGGAGCGAACAGGA